rnacentral:lncRNA from 1 species
UUGACCCCUUAAGGAGUUAUUGCCCUUUAUAGUCAAUUUUUAACAAUUUUCAUUAAUUUGGUAAAUUUAUGUAAAUUUUUACCAAAUAUAGUUCUCUGUUACUAAUGGGCAAAGUUCAUUAUAGAUAAUAUUGUAAGAAGCAAAAUCGUUCAGAAAGUAAGAACUUCAAACACAUCACCAUCACCAAAAUACAAAUUUGUCAUGAAUCCAUUUGUGUCCUUUGUUUAAUAUGCACAUAGACCAAGGUGAGCGACACAGGCUCUUUAGAGCCUCUAGUUUUAAAAUGGAAAAGAAAAUA